UACGUAGGGUGCGAGCGUUAAUCGGAAUUACUGGGCGUAAAGUGUGCGCAGGCGGCCGCGCAAGUCGAGUGUGAAAGCCCCGGGCUUAACUUGGGAAUUGCGCUCGAAACUACAUGGCUAGAGUGUGGCAGAGGGAGGUGGAAUUCCACGUGUAGCGGUGAAAUGCGUAGAGAUGUGGAGGAACACCGAUGGCGAAGGCAGCCUCCUGGGCCAACACUGGCGCUCAUGCACGAAAGCGUGGGGAGCAAACAGG
rnacentral:rRNA from 1 species